GACGAACGCUGGCGGCGUGCCUAAUACAUGCAAGUCGAACGCAGUGGGGACGGGUGAGUAACACGUGGGUAACCUCCCAUCAGAGGGGAUAACACUUGGAAACAGGUGCUAAACCGAUACUGAUGGAUGGACCCGCGGUGAAUUAGCUAGUUGGUGAGGUAACGGCGCACCAAGGCCACGAUGCAUAGCCGGCCUGAGAGGGUGAUCGGCCACACUGGGACUGAGACACGGCCCAGACUCCUACGGGAGGCAGCAGUAGGGAAUAUUGGGCAAUGGACGAAAGUCUGACAGAGCAACGCCGCGUGAGUGAAGAAGGUUUUCGGAUUGUAAAACACUGUUGUUAGAGAAGCGGUAUCCAAAGAGAAAGCCACGGCUAACUACGUGCCAGCAGCCGCGGUAAUAC
rnacentral:rRNA from 1 species